rnacentral:misc_RNA from 1 species
GAUGAAGAACGUAGUGAAAUGCGAUAAGUAAUGCGAAUUGCAGAAUUCAGUGAGUCAUCGAAUCUUUGAACGCACAUUGCGCCCUGUGGUAUUCCGCAGGGCAUGCCUGUUCGAGCGUCAUUUCAACCCUCAAGCUCUGCUUGGUGUUGGGCCCUGCCCGCUGCGGCCGGCCCUAAAGACAGUGGCGGUGCCGCCUGGCCCUGAGCGUAGUACAUCUCUCGCUCCAGUGCCCGGUGGUAGCCUGCCAGAACCCCAACUCUCGUGGUUGACCUCGGAUCAGGUAGGGAUACCCGCUGAACUUAAGCACAUCAAUAAGCGGAGGA